AUACGAGGGGUGAAAGCGUUAAUCGGAAUUACUGGGCGUAAAGCGUUCGUAGGCGGUUUGUUAAGCAAGAUGUGAAAGCCCUGGGCUCAACCUGGGAACUGCAUUUUGAACUGGCAAGCUAGAAUACUGUAGAGGGUGGUGGAAUUUCCAGUGUAGCGGUGAAAUGCGUAGAGAUUGGAAGGAACAUCAGUGGCGAAGGCGGCCACCUGGACAGAUAUUGACGCUGAGGAACGAAAGCGUGGGGAGCGAACAGGAUUAGAAACCCCAGUAGUCC
rnacentral:rRNA from 1 species